CCAAGGCAUUCCAAGGACGGAGGGCUGGGCUUGGGAGGAGAGGCAGGCAGGGUCGUGAGCUCCCCACUGUGCCUGUGAUUGGAGGAAAGGCUGAACGAUCUCAGCUUUACUCUCUCGGACCCGAGAUCUCUCUGCCUUCCUCCCUCACAGCUGAGAUCUCUCUGCCUUCUCUUGUACUUGAGAUCUCUGCCUUCUGGACGCCAAUUCUAUAGGUGCAGAUCCCAGGUCACCCUCCUGUCCUGGAAGACCUUUGCCCCUCUGAGAUCCUUCAGCCUGCAGAGGACCUGGCCCAAGCUUGGAGCCUGGAGCCAGAGGGAAUGGCCCCUGGGAGCUGCAGACCCCCAGCCCAGG